GUGCAGCCGCCGCGGUAAUACGGAAGGUCCAAGCGUUAAUCGGAAUUACUGGGCGUAAAGCGCGCGUAGGUGGUCUGUUAAGUCGGAUGUGAAAGCCCCGGGCUCAACCUGGGAACUGCAUUCGAUACUGGCAGACUAGAGUGCGGGAGAGGGAGGUAGAAUUCCAUGUGUAGCGGUGAAAUGCGUAGAUAUGUGGAGGAAUACCAGUGGCGAAGGCGGCCUCCUGGCUCGACACUGACACUGAGGCGCGAAAGCGUGGGGAGCGAACGGGAUUAGAUA
rnacentral:rRNA from 1 species